GUGUAUUAACACUGAAGGAAACUAUACCUGUCGUUGUCCUAAGAACUUCCAUGGAGAUGGAAGAGAAGGCGGAGAAGGUUGCACCAAAAAUUCCACCUCUUCCAUUCCUAUCAUAAUUGGAAUUGGGUUAGGCCUCGUAGUUCUACUAAUUGCCAUCACAACCAUAUACUUAUGCUAUAAAAAGUUGAAGUUCAUCAAACAAAAACAGCGUUUUUUCCA